ACGAACGCUGGCGGCAUGCCUAACACAUGCAAGUCGAACGGAGUUAAACGCUGUGAAGCCUUCGGGCGGAACAUGUUUAACUUAGUGGCGGACGGGUGAGUAACGCGUGAGCAACCUGCCUUACAGAGGGGGACAACAGUUGGAAACGACUGCUAAUACCGCAUGAAGUGCCGGGGAGGCAUCUCCCUGAUACCAAAGAUUUAUCGCUGUAAGAUGGGCUCGCGUCCGAUUAGAUAGUUGGUGAGGUAACGGCUCACCAAGUCGACGAUCGGUAGCCGGACUGAGAGGUUGAACGGCCACAUUGGGACUGAGAUACGGCCCAGACUCCUACGGGAGGCAGCAGUGGGGGAUAUUGCACAAUGGGGGAAACCCUGAUGCAGCAAUGCCGCGUGAAGGAAGAAGGUCUUCGGAUUGUAAACUUCUGUUUUUCGUGACGAAGAAGUGACGGUAGCGAAAAAGAAAGCUCCGGCUAACUACGUGCCAGCAGCCGCGGUAAUACGUAGGGAGCAAGCGUUGUCCGGAUUUACUGGGUGUAAAGGGUGCGCAGGCGGGACUGCAAGUUGGAUGUGAAAUACCGGGGCUCAACCCCGGAGCUGCAUCCAAAACUGUAGUUCUUGAGUGAAGUAGAGGCAGGCGGAAUUCCGAGUGUAGCGGUGAAAUGCGUAGAUAUUCGGAGGAACACCAGUGGCGAAGGCGGCCUGCUGGGCUUUAACUGACGCUGAGGCACGAAAGCAUGGGGAGCAAACAGGAUUAGAUACCCUGGUAGUCCAUGCCGUAAACGAUGAAUGCUAGGUGUGGGGGGACUGACCCCCUCCGUGCCGGAGUAAACACAAUAAGCAUUCCACCUGGGGAGUACGACCGCAAGGUUGAAACUCAAAGGAAUUGACGGGGGCCCGCACAAGCAGUGGAGUAUGUGGUUUAAUUCGAAGCAACGCGAAGAACCUUACCAGGUCUUGACAUCCAACUAACGAACUAGAGAUAGAUUAGGUGCCUUUCGGGGAAAGUUGAGACAGGUGGUGCAUGGUUGUCGUCAGCUCGUGUCGUGAGAUGUUGGGUUAAGUCCCGCAACGAGCGCAACCCCUAUUGUUAGUUGCUACGCAAGAGCACUCUAGCGAGACUGCCGUUGACAAAACGGAGGAAGGUGGGGACGACGUCAAAUCAUCAUGCCCUUUAUGUCUUGGGCUACACACGUACUACAAUGGCUAUAACAAAGAGAAGCGAGACAGUGAUGUGGAGCAAAACUCAAAAAAAUAGUCUCAGUUCGGAUUGAAGGCUGAAAUUCGCCUUCAUGAAGCUGGAAUUGCUAGUAAUGGCAGGUCAGCAUACUGCCGUGAAUACGUUCCCGGGCCUUGUACACACCGCCCGUCACACCAUGAGAGUUGGGGAUACCCGAAGCCUGUGAGCCAACAUAUCUAUGAGGCAGCAGUCGAAGGUAGAAUCAAUGAUUGGGGUG
rnacentral:rRNA from 1 species